AGUGAAGGAUCACUGAAAGCCGACCAGACCCCUAAUGCUUUCAAUGGAGAAGUAUCUUUUGACACUGUUGAUAGCUCCAAUACCAAUGAAUUAAAGAAUCCCACCCGAGUGAAAAGAUGUCUUGCAUGGCUUUUUGGAGGAGAGUGCAACCGAAGAUCUCAGACAUCAAAUACCUAUAACAUCGGUAACGGACACCAUAACACCAAUCAUGUUGUCAUUCACGAGGCACCAAGAACGCGUAACAACGAUUAUUGGUGGUGG